AUUGAACGCUGGCGGAAUGCUUUACACAUGCAAGUCGAACGGCAGCACGGACUUCGGUCUGGUGGCGAGUGGCGAACGGGUGAGUAAUGUAUCGGAACGUGCCCAGUCGUGGGGGAUCACGUAGUGAAAAUUACGCUAAUACCGCAUACGAUCUAUGGAUGAAAGCGGGGGAUCGCAAGACCUCGCGCGAUUGGAGCGGCCGAUAUCAGAUUAGGUAGUUGGUGGGGUAAAGGCCCACCAAGCCAACGAUCUGUAGCUGGUCUGAGAGGACGACCAGCCACACUGGAACUGAGACACGGUCCAGACUCCUACGGGAGGCAGCAGUGGGGAAUUUUGGACAAUGGGCGAAAGCCUGAUCCAGCCAUUCCGCGUGCAGGAUGAAGGCCCUCGGGUUGUAAACUGCUUUUGUACAGAACGGAGAGGUUUCUACUAAUACUAGGAGCUCAUGACGGUACUGUAAGAAUAAGCACCGGCUAACUACGUGCCAGCCGCCGCCGUAA
rnacentral:rRNA from 1 species